GUUAAAAGCUAGGGCUAGGACUUGGAGGAUGUGUAGGCAAACGGAAGGAGAGCCGGGGGAAGAAAAACCGAAAUGGAUUCAUUCUCUGUCCUGGAUGGAGGAGGAGAGGAGAAGAGAAGGGGACGUGCGAGCUUCCUUCAACUGCCUCUGUCCGGUGAAAAGUGCUCAGACCCCCGGGGCUGAGCGGGGCUCAGGAGUCCGCGCGGACUUUCGCUUUAAGCUGCCAAUCAAACCGCUAACUAGCCACCACCCUGCUCUGGCACCGACAU
rfam:Charadrius vociferus contig11008, whole genome shotgun sequence.